AGGUUCUGUUCCCGUUGGAUGUGGUGACCCAUGACACCUUUGAUCCCGGCACUUGGAAGGAGGCAGAGGCAGCCUGAUCUCUGUGAGUUCGAGGUCAGCAUGGUCUACAAAGAACCCACACCUUCUUUGCACCAGCUGCCAUUGACAGGACUGACAACAGAUGAGGAAGCAGCUGUCGCAAUUGCCGAAGUUCCGUCACCCCUCAGCUGUCUAUCUGGAGCUGAUACCCGGGAUAUUUGGAAUGGACCAAUAGGACCCUUAGAACAACUUCUUUUCUGAGCUAUCUUUCAGCAGCUGUUUGUUCCCCGUCCUCCCUCUCUAACCCCUCUCAAUCCUCCUUCCCACUCGUUUUUUUUUGUUUUUUUCUUUGAAUUUCUGUCUCCUUUUCCAUCUAGGUUCACGGCUUAAUACGUGAAAAAUUGAGAAAAAAAAAAAGGGCCUUAUUAUUUUAAGAUAAACCCAAAUGAAAACUCAGCCAUCUAACCUCUGCUAACUAAAUUAUGCAGUGUUUGUGUUACCUCCGGAUUUGUUUUUGUGGGUUAAGCCUCUCAAAGGAGAAAAAGGCUUAUUUGUUGCAAUCCGAAGGAGAAAGACUGGGAAGAAGGAAAUACAAAACAAGAGGAAAGCUGAGCCUGCGGAUCGCAUACCUAGUGAAAGUAAUACGAAAUGCAAAUCUGGACAUGCCCGCAUGUAUUUUUCCAUUUGAAAACAAACCUGGUUACAACCGGUGUAUUUUUAUUGUUUCCUCUGGACUCUAUUGCCCUUGGGGGCAAGCGCUCUGCAAGAGAGGCCAGCCUGCCCUCUAGUGGAUGCCGAAGACAUGCACUCGAAGCCUAGGGCUGCAGCUUGGCUGUCCACAGAGUGAAGCUGGGGAAAGUCACUGAGAGGGAACGCCUGAGCAACUCUCCUGGAAAUGCAGUAGAUGGAGACACACACUGAAAGACUGGAUCCCCGUGAGCCUCGCUUUCAUUUGCUCUGAGAAACUGUUCAGUACUCUGAGUUGUCGAAGAUAGAUUUGAAUUUGAUGUAUGCGUGAUGCUUCAUGUGUCCUGUGUUUAAUUUGUCAAACAAAACAUUAACCAAAAAAAACCCUAAUGUGCAGAUUUGAAGUACAAGUGACAACGAAAUGUGCCGACCUUUCACACUAUUGGCUUGUGCAGAGCUUUAGCAUAGGAGGAGACAAGGGUACAGAAGUUAGGGAGGCCCAGGUCCCAUUCUUUGGGAAAUUACCCUUGGAUGGGAAGAAGCCGUAUUUGCACAUAGUUAUAAUACAUGACAGAAGUACAACUGGAGAGGGGAAGUACAUACUGACAUCUUAUUUAAUAUUUAAUAUUUAAGAACUUUUAUGUUGUAAAUUAGCAAGUGCAUUUAUAUUCUGUUAUCUGAGAAGAAUUCUGUAACAAUGGAUUUCUUGGCAUGCAACAAAGACCUUCCUACACAGGCGGAGAGGGUUCAGAAAGGCCAAAUAAUUCACCCUAGCGGAGCAGCAGGGAAUUGUCAUCCCUGGGAUUCAAAUUUGGCUGUCUGCUUUUCCUGUCAGUUUAGUUAAUUUUGACAGAACUACACUGAGAGGCUACCAGGUACCAGUUUUGCGCGGGGGAUAUGAAGAGGAAGAUGCCAUUAUCGUUCUUAGGGUUAGUGUCCUGCAGGGAACUAGACUCUGAAGAAAUAAUUGCUCUCUGUUGGGACAGAUGCGGCAGUGGACAUGCGCAGAUUUUACCUCUGGAGCCCAGCAGCCGGCCUCCUGUCACGUGAUCCUGAUAACUGUGAGUGACUGAUUAGGAAUUUGUAACUUUGCCUAAGGCAGUCAUAUUUAAAAUAGAUCUAAUAACGGGUAUCUGCCCAGGAAGGAAGAUCACUCACAGAUCCAGUCAGAUGUGUCAGAGAGAGCAGUCAACAAGAGAAACUCAGAAAACUCCAGAACCAAAGUGGCAAGCAAGUAAGAUGGUGUGCCCGAGCAUGCAUGGCAUCCUUGUACUUGCGAGACAGAGGCAGGAGUUUAAGUUUGUCUUCAGCUACAUAGAAUACCAGGGAUCAGUGUUGGGCUACAUAUCCAAAAAAAAAAAAAAAAAAAAAAAAAAAAAAAAAAAAAAGCGAAAUGAAACAAAAGAAUUAGGUUAGAAAUAAAAAGGGAGGGAACAGCUGAACUGGUGGGGAGGUAGGCAGAAGUUAAAGAUUAUGGACUGUGGUCGUGGCCCUCACAUUCAAAGCUGCUGUUGUUUUUGUGUGGAUGUGGCAGAACACUACAGAGCAUGCGCAUACUUGCCCAGAAGGACCCUGCGCUUCUUUAUGGGGGCUCCUCUUCAUAGUGUGAGAACCAAAGUUAAACACUGAAGACUAUUUGUUUUCAUUCCUCUCAACACUCACCCACCGGAUGUGGUUGAUCACAUGUGGUCGGGAGGUUCGUGGGCAGGAAAUACCUCAGGAUGUACAGGAUGUACGAUCACCCCUGAUUGGAUGUAGGUGACGGAAUAUUCAUAGGCAGGAAAUAGGUCAGAAUUUAUGCUCAUCUCUGAUGGAUUUGUCUUCUUAAGCCACUGCAAGGUAUUCAUGGCCAUUUUCUGGAAGCCUGAAGAGAUGGACCCAGCUAGAGCCCAUCCACCUGGCCAGAAUUUAAUUAAAGAUUGCUUAAGAUUUGGUUUUAAAUUGUGGUGUAGUGGUCUUUUUCCUGACUGAUGGGAGUAACAAUAGCCACCUACCUCAUUUGAGACCCUGUGAGCCUAACUCUGAUCCUUUACCUUAGAAAACCUCACUGAGAGCUGAUCUGUAAUGAUAAUGGUAACAGCGCAUCCAUAACCCCCAGGGUGUCUAUAGUUUUUGGUAGUCAGGGGAUAGUACAAACUACAGGACAUAUACAUAAACCUUUGUGGGACGUGUUUAUCAUCAAUGGAAUGAGGAAGGGGAGAAUUUAAAAAUUUGGAUUUAUUUUAUCUUAUGAGCGUUUUGCCUGCCUGUAUGUAUGUGCACCACUUUUACAGCUGGUGCACAGGGAGUCCUAAUUUGAUGCACGGAGGGCAUCAAAUUAGGGCAUCAAAUUAGGUUGUAAGCCACCAUGUGGGUAUCAGGGACUAAGCUAGGGUCCUCUGCAAGAUCAGUGAGUGAUCUUAACCACUGAGCCAUCUCUCCUGCCCUGAGAGUUUAGAUUUUUAUAAUCCUUCAAUGGUUUGCCUGUAUGAUUCCUUAUAAGUCUGCUUUUUCUGUAUUGGCUUAUUUAAGUUGUUUUCUUUGUACUCACUUUAAUAAACACCUAGCAACCCUGUGAUUCUACUGUGAAGUCCCUCUCAAAGGAAUACUCGCUUAGUCCCUUUAAUGAUAAUUAAAGCGCUAUUUCUAUAUGAAAAUAAACCUUGAUCUUAUGGAAGUGCUAACCAAAAUCUGCAUAUAAUUGUAACAAAACACAGGGUUUCCCUCCUAGCUAUGGGCACCAGACUAGCUGGAUUCACUUUUCCCUGUCCUAAAGGGAAUGUAGGGACAAGUUAGAGAACUGUUAAGCUCUUGCUUCAACUUCCUUGUGUAGACUAGAGAUGUCCCAGAAUAUAUCCACACACGUUUGUGUGUUGAUUAAUGAGGGGAUACGUUCUAGAAACUAUCUGGCUGGACAGUUUUUUCUUUUUUUGUAAGGGUGUUUUGCUUAAAUGUAUAUCAGGGUAUUAUAUGCAUGAAGUACUUGUGUAAGCCAACAGAGGGUGCCAGAUCCUCUGGGUUACAGCUGGUUGUUAACCAACAUGUGGAUGCUGGGAUUCAAAGUGGGGGGUGGGGUAGGAGCAGGCAGUGUUCGUGAUCAGUGAACCCUCUCUAUGAACCCUCUCUCUAGCCCCAACUCUCUCUGUCUCUCUGUCUCUCUCUCUCUGUCUCUCUCUCUCAUGUGCAAACAUUGUAAGACAUUCUUACACGCACAGUAGAUCACUCUAUGUGAACUCUGAAUUCAACCAAUACAUGAUAGACAUGACAUUUAUCUGUGCUAGUGAAAUAUUAAAAAAUAUAGUUAUUUUGUUUCACUGUGUGUGUGUGCAUGCGUGCGUGCGUGUGUGUGUGUGUGUGUGUGUGUGUGUGUGUGUGUGUGUGUGUGUGUGUAUGCACACGCCUGCUUCUCUGCAAGUGUACCGGGUAUGCAGGUACCCAAGAAGCCAGAAAAGGCUGUCAGUUCUCUUGGUACCGGAGUCACCAGUAUUGUGAACCACCUGAUGUGAGUGAACCUGGGUCCUCCAAAAGAGCAGCUGAUAACUGCCAAGCCACCUCUCAACCUCACACAACAUGGUCGACAGGAAAUGUCUGUGUUCAGUUCUGGGGCCAGAACCCAGGCUUUUGAAUAGUCUAGGUAGGCUAUGCCCCUAACCCUUAAGACAUUAUGACAGUCAACUAGACUGUCCAGUUUGUUUUCUGUGGUAUUGUCGUGUCUUUUUGACUUUUGUUUUGUUUUCGGACUUGGACUGACGACUAUGUUUGAAAUCAUGGACUGAUGACUGUGUUUGAAAGCAUGGAACUGUUUAUUUUGUUUGUCAAGGAAUUUUACUUGGUCCUUUUGGUGCUUAACUUGGAAAUAAUUUGCGUGAGAGAAAUUGUUUUCUGCCAGGGAGUUUUAUCUUUCUCUCUUGAGCCUCCUUCCCAAGAAGAAAUGCCCCUCCCUGUAGGAAGCUGCAAUGUGCCGCGCCUCAAAGAUGGCGCUGGUUUCCACCUUCCAACCUUGUAGUGAACAAGUCCUUAUUUGGCUAUGCCUGUCUGGCCUGCUAGGUUCUGCAUAGUGACAGCCUGUCUGCAUGACCCACGUGGCACGUUGGGGUUGGUUGGCGUUGAGUACUUAAGCUGAUGUAGGGCGUUCCCCGGCGUAGAAGAAGAUUGUAUCAAGGUUCCUGAAUAAACUGCUUGA